rnacentral:rRNA from 1 species
UACGGAGGAUGCAAGCGUUAUCCGGAAUGAUUGGGCGUAAAGCGUCCGCAGGUGGCUGUGUAAGUCUGCUGUCAAAGAGCGAAGCUCAACUUCGUAAAGGCAGUGGAAACUACACGGCUAGAGUGCGUUCGGGGCAGAGGGAAUUCCUGGUGUAGCGGUCAAAUGCGUAGAGAUCAGGAAGAACACCGGUGGCGAAGGCGCUCUGCUAGGCCGCAACUGACACUGAGGGACGAAAGCUAGGGGAGCGAAUGGG